GACGAACGCUGGCGGCGUGCUUAACACAUGCAAGUCGAACGGAAAGGCCCUGCUUUUGUGGGGUGCUCGAGUGACGAACGGGUGAGUAACACGUGAGUAACCUGCCCUUGACUUUGGGAUAACUUCAGGAAACUGGGGCUAAUACCGGAUAGGAGCUCCUGCUGCAUGGUGGGGGUUGGAAAGUUUCGGCGGUUGGGGAUGGACUCGCGGCUUAUCAGCUUGUUGGUGGGGUAGUGGCUUACCAAGGCUUUGACGGGUAGCCGGCCUGAGAGGGUGACCGGCCACAUUGGGACUGAGAUACGGCCCAGACUCCUACGGGAGGCAGCAGUGGGGAAUAUUGCACAAUGGGCGGAAGCCUGAUGCAGCAACGCCGCGUGCGGGAUGACGGCCUUCGUGUUGUAAACCGCUUUCGCCUGUGACGAAGCGUGAGUGACGGUAAUGGGUAAAGAAGCACCGGCUAACUACGUG
rnacentral:rRNA from 1 species